rnacentral:tRNA from 3 species
GCGUGCAUAGCUCAACAGGUAGAGCGCCCACCUUCCAGGCGGGUGACGUUGGUUCAAGACCCGCUGCACGCUCCA